CAGCGCCACGAGUGGCAGCCGCGUUUAUUUGGCCUAAAGCAUCCGUAGCCGGGUUAGCAAGUCCUUUGUGAAAUCGUUAGGCUUAACCUAACGGCGUGCAAAGGAUACUACUAUCCUAGAGACUGGGAGGAGUUGAAGGUAUUCCUUGGGGAGCGGUAAAAUGCUAUAAUCCAAGAAGGACCACCUAUGGCGAAGGCAUCUCACCAGAACGGAUCCGACUGUGAGGGACGAAAGCUAGGGGAGCGAACCGGAUUAGAUACCCGAGUAGUCC
rnacentral:rRNA from 1 species